AUACCGUGAUCAAUUAGGCGGUUCCCCCAGGGCGAGGCUACUCCAUUGCACUGCGGAGUGGUUGACCCUUGCGAUUACCCCUAAUGCGGGUAACUCGGACGCGUAAUUUUUGGUAGUGGGGA
rnacentral:snRNA from 1 species